CGGGGAGGAGGGAGCAAGGGAGAGAACGGCGGCGUGGGUCUGGGAUUGAGGUGAGGAGAAGGGAGAGAAGGGGCUAAGUCUACGUGAGGAGCGUCGGCGGUGGGUGGAGGGUGGAGGCCAAGUCAGCUAGGGCGGCGGUCGCGGGCGCGCGGUGGUGGGCAAGGAGGAGCGGAAGGUCUAGCGCGGCGGUGGGCCGUUGAGGUUGGAGAGUGGGUGGUGGCAGCGGGGAGGGGAGUGGAAGAGGUGGCCGCUGGAGCGGAGGGAGGCGGCGGCGGGUGUGGGUGAAUUGGAGACGAAGUGGAGUGGCAGAGGGGGAUGGGAUCCAGGGUCUAGGUCGCCCAGUCGGCCGCCGGUACCGCGAGGGGCUAACUGGUGCCUAGGUUCUGGUGCAGGCGGAGGAAGGACGAGCUGGUUCUAGUUCUGUUGCGUGCGGUGACGAAGGAAAGAGCCCGCCCCGACAGGCCACCCACCGGAAACUGCGGCGAGAAGGAAGCUGCGGUACCUUCCAUCCGCUCGCUUGGUCUAGGUCGAACAUGUCCGCAUGUUGAGGAGGAGGAGUAGCAGAACAGAAGAACCGGCCGGACCUUCCGCUACCGCCCCGGCGACCUCAAGGACCUCCGCGUCACGAGCUGUGCCGUCCACGACGGCCUGACCGUGUGGCUGGAGAUGGUGGCCUCCGAGAUCGUGGUCGAGUGGGAGUUCGAGGUCGUCAAGGAGUGGGAGCGGCAGCAGGUCCAGGCCAACUGAGCUAGUCAGGG
rnacentral:rRNA from 1 species